rnacentral:misc_RNA from 1 species
AAUCCAAUCAAGCCUGGCUUGGUAUUGGGCGUCGGGGGUUCCCCGUGCCUCGAUUUCACCGGCUGGCCGUCGCCCGUCUUAGCGUUGUGACACACUUUUCGCUAACGGAGGGAGCGGACCACGCCGUUAUAAUCCCAUGAAUUUCAAACGAAAUUCGAUUA